rnacentral:rRNA from 1 species
ACUCCUACGGGAGGCAGCAGUGGGGAAUAUUGCACAAUGGGGGAAACCCUGAUGCAGCCAUGCCGCGUGUGUGAAGAAGGCCUUCGGGUUGUAAAGCACUUUCAGUAGGGAGGAAGGUAGUGUAGUUAACACCUGCAUUAUUUGACGUUACCUACAGAAGAAGCACCGGCUAACUCCGUGCCAGCAGCCGCGGUAAUACGGAGGGUGCGAGCGUUAAUCGGAAUUACUGGGCGUAAAGCGCAUGCAGGCGGCCUGUUAAGUCAGAUGUGAAAGCCCGGGGCUUAACCUCGGAAUUGCAUUUGAAACUGGCAGGCUAGAGUCUUGUAGAGGGGUUAGAAUUUCAGGUGUAGCGGUGAAAUGCGUAGAGAUCUGAAGGAAUACCAGUGGCGAAGGCGGCCCCUGGACAAAGACUGACGCUCAGAUGCGAAAGCGUGGGAGCAAACAGGAUUAGAUACCCCUGGUAGACUGUCA